rnacentral:rRNA from 1 species
AUACGGAGGGUGCAAGCGUUAAUCGGAAUUACUGGGCGUAAAGCGCGCGUAGGCGGUAAGGUCAGUCGGAUGUGAAAGCCCCGGGCUCAACCUGGGAACUGCAUUCGAUACUGCCUGACUAGAGUAUGCUAGAGGGAAGUGGAAUUUCCGGUGUAGCGGUGAAAUGCGUAGAUAUCGGAAGGAACACCAGUGGCGAAGGCGGCUUCCUGGACCAAUACUGACGCUGAGGUGCGAAAGCGUGGGGAGCAAACAGGAUUAGAAACCCUAGUAGUCC